rnacentral:misc_RNA from 1 species
GGUUGGGGAGGAGUGGGGUUGUUGGGUGGUGGGGUUGAUAUGAUAUUGGAUAUUAUAACCUUUUUGAGUUUUCUCCUUUUCAACAGGAUUUUGGUGACAGUAUUCCUGGCCAUGGGGGAAUUACAGAUAGAAUGGAUUGCCAGGUAAGCUUAACAAAGUUGAAAUGUUCAUAGAGUAUGUUGUUAACAAAACUUUUAUAACGAUCCUGAACUCUCAAACCCUUGAAUUUGUGAAUUAAGUUGGGGGCUGAUUUCAUGCUUUAGGAUGUUCACACCCUCAUAUUUGGCUGCAUGGUUUGAACGUUGUAAUUAGCCUAUUUGGCUGUCAAUGACACUCCAUGUCCAUUGAACUCUAGCAAGGACAGUUUUCAAUGGCUGCUUUUUAUAUCCUUGGUGUUAUUGGUGCAUAAUAUUACAUUGGUCUUAGUAUUUUUCAGGGCAAGUGGGAUUGUUAGAAAUCUCUUCCGUCAUGCCUCCUAUUUGUGUUGUCAUCCAUUUGAUUCUGAGUCAUUUUAUUGAUUGUUUAAGACAGGAUUUGAAAUUAGAAACAUGUAAAUGAGUAGAUGUAAGCUUCAAGUGCAUUCUUGCGAUCAAGUUUAUUUUGCAAUAUUCAUGUUUUCUGCUCUAAUUGAUUAGAUCAUUUAUUGUAGAUGGUGAUGGCUGUGUUUGCAUACAUCUAUCAUCAAUCAUUCGUUGUGCCUCAAAGCAUCUCAGUUGAAAUCAUCUUAGAUCAGAUUUUGACGAACCUUACUUUUGAGGAGCAGCAUGCUUUGUACACCAAACUUGGGGAAAUCAUUCAGGA